AAGAGCGUAGUGCGGGAAAACCGCACGCUACGUUCUGUGGGAGCUGGAGGCGGGUGACUGCCUCUGGCGACCCGGU
rfam:Candidatus Glomeribacter gigasporarum BEG34, WGS project CAFB01000000 data, contig: Contig1845new-1692